GGUGCGCUCAAGGCUGGUCUAGCCGACUAGGUGCGCCGCAGUCUCCGCCUGCGUCUUGCACUUGCACAUGGGUUGCAGAGGCAGGUGGUGACCCCAAGGAGGGGUUUAAGGAGAGCUCUAGCACCUUCACCCCAACUAUCUUCCCUAGGUUCCCCAAGACACCUAGAACUUAGUUUAAAACUGUGAUUGCCCCAUUGACAUAGCUUGAAGACAAGACCUUUGCCCACCCCAGACUACGACCUCCAAUAUUGAAAUUCUGGAGCAGACAAAUCUUCCUUGCCCUGCGUGGAGGACUGUGUGCCCACGCAGGCCCGGCAGUCCAGGGCUCUGGAAGCUAGGACUAGGUUGGGGUGCUCCAGGGCCUGCACCCUGCCUAGGACCGCCAACCUUGGGCAGGCUGUGGGAGCCCAGCCCCUGGGAAAGCCUGAGGGGGCAGUGCCAGCAUGCUGACAAUGACCUCAGCAGGCAGAACUCCUCCCCUGGGAAAACAUGGCCUGGAGGAAGCACCCCGACCUCAAGGCAGGAGCUCCCGCUCCUGUGAGUGUGCAAAGGCAUGCCAGCAGAGACUUGUGUACAGUGCCCAUCAGGGUGUAAACGCCCAGCUAGGAGGGGUGUGGAAAUAAGUGGGUGUGCUGGUGCACACGGAAGGACAGGCUCUGCAAUGGUGCCGACCCCUGGUCGCCCAGGAAAUGGGACUCCAAAGGCACCAGGUGAGCUGGCCUCCUGACCUGGCUCCUGCUGGUGGCUCAGCACUCAGGGACACUUUUGCGGGGAAUACUGGGUUGGCUUCCACCAAGGACAACCUACACCUUUUGUCCGCUGAGCAUCUCUCCCCCACACACCCCGCCCCCUCUGGUGCCGGGUGCCCUGCCCCCGCAGGCUUCUUUUUAAAGUAUAGGGUUUUCAGAAGUGCUCCUGUCUCUCUCUAUUGUGAAGUGGUGAGCACAUUGCUCUUUCUUGAUCUCCCAGCUAAAACUGCCCCAGGGAGUGCUUGAUCCCCACCCCCUGGCCUCUCCUCCCAGCCAAAAGGGUCUGCAGGUGGUGGUCCUGCUGAAGGAAAGUCUGCAUUCGGCCCAGAGGGGCCUCUAUGCCCCAUUCUGGGAGACAGCCUCAGCUCUGUCCUCCUCUGUAGCCAUCCUUCCCUUCUAUUCAAGGGAGGAGGCGGAGCUCUUAGAGCCGGACCCCAGGCUGGCCACUAACUGUAAGCGCACAUAGAAAAAAACGGUAGGUACUGAAUACGAAUUUGAGGGAGAGUGAAUUUUGCCAGUGAUCACUGUACAGAUAUUACCAAUACCUUCAAAAUAUGUUAUCCAAAUAAGGAGAUUAAUUUUGGUUCAAUUCGCAAGAAGCCUUUUGCAUCAUUUAAGGUUUUUAGGUGUGUUUUGGCUGAAGAGAAAGGGCUCUGGCCCUGGGCUUGCUGGGGAAACAGCUGGUGACAGGAAUGGGUGCAGGCCUCCCUUGACAGGCAGCCCACAAACCCUCCUUCCUCCUCCUCAGGCCUCACCUGCCAGCCAAGAAAAAUGAGACUUGAAAAUGGGCCAGAGUCAUCCUCCAACGGUGAAAUUUGUCCAGGAGUCACUCCCCUCUCAAAUGUCCAGAAAUGCAAGCUGCUCUCUUUCUGGAGGAUGGCCCUAUCUGGGGCAAGCUGAGAGUCAAGAAGGGAGACAGUAGAGGGGAGAAGGUAGAGCACUGACCGUCCAGCCCAGCACCCAAUCCUGGCUCAGCGGGACCCAGCACAAAGAAUGAAGGAGCACGUGGUGCACGAAAGAAUGUGGAGUGCGACGAGUCCUUUCCUCUUAAGAGAGAAGUCCUGGUCAGCAGCACAGAAAGGUCACGCACACAGUGGGUCUGCUCUGGGUGUGCACAUUGCAGGUGAAGGCAAGCUCUGACUAUGGAGUGCAGGGCCUGGGCUCCGGGUCCAUCACUCCCCAGUGACCUUGAGAGAUUGCCCUGGCUCUUUGAGCCUCAACUCUUUCAUCUCUAAAAUGGGGCAGUUCUGUUCAUCUUAAGUACUGAGUAGGGACUGGGAGGAAAACUUCAAUCAAAGUUGGAGAUGCCCUUUGAAGCCUUCAGGUCUUUAUGCUACAUGCUGGGAGCUUUCAAGGUCAGAAUAGGGUUUGAAAGAUGAAGAGCAGCAUUACUGGCUGUGUGCCCAUGGGCAAGUCACAGUAGAGCCCACUUCGCAGGUACCAGUGAGGCCUACACAAGAUGAAGUGUGUUGGUGCUUUGGUGAAGAGCUUGGCACAUAGUAGUUGUCCAAUAAAUGGUGACCCCUCCUGCAGCCACUGUGAGAAGGCUAGCCACAGGAUCAGACCUCCCUGAAGACAAAGGUUUAUACAUGGGCUGAGAUUGGAUGUGCCAAGGAUGCAGGUUGAAUAUUCCAGGGUCCCAUGCAAAACGAAGCAAGAUCUUGUGAAGCCAGAAGCCCAAACAAAUCUCAGAUACCCAAGAAGUUCACACAGCCCUGAUCGCUGCUUAGUGACGGCUGGAGCCUCCGGGGGUGGGAGCGCCAUCUGAGUUCCCAGGGGAAUAAACACGCUCACGCAAGGGCUUUUGAAAAGAAGAGUCCCCCAGUGUCCUUGUUUGAAACUUGCUGCUCAAUGACAUCAAUGGACAGCUGUCAGUCAGGCAGGAUCCCAGAGCUCAGAGAGCACUUUCACAGAUAUUAUUCCACUUCUUGCUUGCUCCAACGGUGGCAGCUGGACAACGUUAGGGUCACCCGACGGAUGAAGCCCAGAGAGGCUGAACGGCUCCGGCCCAGCACUUUUAACUCCCAAUCUCUAUGUUUCCUCAGUACCAUUUGGUAAAUCUUUAUUAACCAGAAUGUCUA
rnacentral:lncRNA from 1 species